UGGGGAAUAUUGCACAAUGGGCGCAAGCCUGAUGCAGCAACGCCGCGUGAGGGACGACGGCCUUCGGGUCGUAAACCUCUUUUGGCAGGGAAGAAGCGAAAGUGACGGUACCUGCAGAAAAAGCACCGGCUAACUACGUGCCAGCAGCCGCGGUGAUACGUAGGGUGCAAGCGUUGUCCGGAAUUAUUGGGCGUAAAGAGCUCGUAGGCGGUUUGUCGCGUCUGCUGUGAAAACCCGAGGCUCAACCUCGGGCCUGCAGUGGGUACGGGCAAACUAGAGUGCGGUAGGGGAGAUUGGAAUUCCUGGUGUAGCGGUGGAAUGCGCAGAUAUCAGGAGGAACACCGAUGGCGAAGGCAGAUCUCUGGGCCGUAACUGACGCUGAGGAGCGAAAGCAUGGGGAGCGAACA
rnacentral:rRNA from 1 species